rnacentral:rRNA from 2 species
AAAUUGAAGAGUUUGAUCAUGGCUCAGAUUGAACGCUGGCGGCAGGCCUAACACAUGCAAGUCGAACGGUAACAGGAAGCAGCUUGCUGCUUCGCUGACGAGUGGCGGACGGGUGAGUAAUGUCUGGGAAACUGCCUGAUGGAGGGGGAUAACUACUGGAAACGGUAGCUAAUACCGCAUAAUGUCGCAAGACCAAAGAGGGGGACCUUCGGGCCUCUUGCCAUCGGAUGUGCCCAGAUGGGAUUAGCUUGUUGGUGGGGUAACGGCUCACCAAGGCGACGAUCCCUAGCUGGUCUGAGAGGAUGACCAGCCACACUGGAACUGAGACACGGUCCAGACUCCUACGGGAGGCAGCAGUGGGGAAUAUUGCACAAUGGGCGCAAGCCUGAUGCAGCCAUGCCGCGUGUAUGAAGAAGGCCUUCGGGUUGUAAAGUACUUUCAGCGGGGAGGAAGGGAGUAAAGUUAAUACCUUUGCUCAUUGACGUUA